CUGUGUUUGGAGAUAGCAUGCUGCAUUGGCUAUGGAGCACAACAAAUCUCUGUUCAUAUUUGACCCUGUUGCUAACUGGCUGUGUGACCUUGAACCAAGUGGUGUGCAUCCCCCUCCCUCUUGCCACGGAAACCCAUCUACUGCAUCCCGACCUCAGCAGUUUUGAACUACAACUCUGGAAUUGUUAGCUCACAACGCAGAGCUGGAAAAGGCCUCAGAAGUCAUCUACCCAACUGUGCCAUUUCACAGAUGGGAAAACUGCGGUCUAGAGGGGUGGCGGCUCGCCCAGGUGCCUGUCUGCUGCUCUUCCCCCAGAUAUCUCAAACAGUCCAGCAGGACUUUAUGCUGGACGCUGGUCUGAAAACAGUUUCCUCUUGCUCUAAGCCCAGAGGAGAGGGCCUAGUGGGAAGGGGGCAAAGGGAAGGGACAGGAACUGUUUUCCACCCUUCCUUCUCAACUUCACCUUCUUGGACCAUCCAGAACUGUCUCCAACUGGAAGGAAGGAAAUCUAGUCCAAUCCUCUCAUCCUACAGAAUUCACAGAGUGCCAGAACUGGAAGGGACCUCAGAGAACAGAAGUUCAAGUCCUGUUUCCCAGAUAAGGACACCAAGACCCAGAGGGGAAAUGACUCAGCCAACAACACGCACCCUUUGGAGGCCAGCAGGGCCACUUAAGUAUUGCUCCACCAGAGACCAGAACUGUGGGCCAGACCACUCUGGCCAGAGCCUCCCAGAGCCUCUGGGAUCCUGCCCAUGGAUCUGAGGAUUUCCACCCCAGGAGAAAUUCUGGGUGAGAGUUUGGAGGCACUGUGCUGGGAGGAGACAUGUGGUUUCUGAGCUCAAGAAGGUUACAGUUUACAGGAAGAGAUGGACACUGAACCAAUAAUACCACAAAUAGAUGGAUAUUUACAAAUUUUUUAAAGAUUUUAUUUUUUUUCCUUUUUCUCCCCAAAGCCCCC
rnacentral:lncRNA from 1 species